GAUAUUUCUAGCUAGAUACAGUAAUAAGCAAUUCGCUAUACUAAACUUCCUUGGAGAAAGUGUUCCUGAUGUUUUUACGGGUGAUGUUCUGCGAAAAGCUUCAAAUCGCUGAGAGCAAGAGAUUCCAAGGGGAAGCACCUGCAGUAGCGCCACAGCCUGGAGUGAUGGAACCUCGUAAGCCUAGAUGGCACAUGCGGAGUUCUGUACUGGCUGUUCGUUCACUGUUAUUAGUGCCUGGUUUAUGUGUCUGUGAUUGCUAAUUACCGUGUGGAGGAGGGGGCUGCCAGUGCCAUCGUUGGCAGUGUCGGUUUUUCGUCGACGGUCACUAAUGAUGUCAUCUGCUAAUAAGUCCUCGAUAGUUGUCGGGCUGCAGGCCUUCCAUCCAUGCAGGUGGCCUAUCUCGAUCUCUAGCUAUCUAUCCCUUGGCAGGUAACUCAAAAGAAAAGAAAAACUAUACCUU
rnacentral:lncRNA from 1 species